rnacentral:piRNA from 1 species
GAGCCUCUGUACUUGACCCUUCUUGA